GAGCAUCUUGAGGUCGUGAUGUAUCGUUUCGUUGGUGACGUACCAAGGUGCAUCUAUUAGGGAUCUCAAGGUUUUCGAUUGGAAUCGUUGAAGAAUUUCUAUGUUGGAAUUACUUGCUGUUCCCCAUAGUUGGAUUCCAUAGGUCCAAACAGGUUUUAAUAUAGCUUUAUUGUGAAACAUUUGACUAAACUAUUUGAACUCUCACGCAGUUCCAUGUGGAUAAUUGACGCUGCGGAGAUGUGCCACACGCGGUCCAGUUGAUAUUUGGCCGGAGCUCGUACUACACAGAACGUUUAGGAAUUUCAUGAACACCAUGACGAGACACAACUAUCCUGAUCAUAUUGGUCAGGUUUGAAACGGACCUGAAAAUGUGUAUACAAGUUAGAAGAUAUGGAGUUAAAGAGAAAGCUGCUUCAGUUUUUCGUAGAUGCAUCUGGCCAUCGUGGUAAGUUUAUUUUUAUUUAUUAUUACUAAUUUAAUUGGUAAUACUGUAAGCCUGACUGUUUUAAUAAAUUUCCAACAUGUUUACAACGCAACUUUUAAGAAGCAAUGGAAUUAGAGGUAAACGAGUGGCUGAUAAGAACUCGGAUGAGAGCUGGGACGCAAAGUUUCACGUUAGAACGCAAAUUGUUAAAUUUGUAGCAAAUGAAUUAUAUGUCCACAGGUAUAUGCAGGUCGUGUCGUAAUGGACGCGUCACGACCCAGCGAGCACCAAUUAAAAAAAGGAGGAGACUUAUUCUCGCGACCGUCGAAGAGUCGGUUAUCAUGUGAAUUAAUGAAAUAGAAAAUUGCCUCUGGACGCCGAGCACACAGCUACAAAAUCGGUGCAGGUGCGCCAGCCUGUCUUCCGUUUAAUUUCGAACAUCGACGUGAAAAAUUGGCGCGCGACCUUCUGCCUUGAUUACGUGCCACCCGGAUUCAACCUCUGGCCUCGUCGCGAGGCAAAAAUUUCUCGUUCAUUGGCCCGUAAGGGCUCUUUUCAAAGGGCGCUGCCAGCCUCGUACGAGCAAGGAAAUCUCUUUGAAACUGGCACUGGGCCCCGCUUAAUAUUAAUAGCAGCAUUUGCGGCUCCGUAUGAACGACAUUUAACUAACGAGACGCCUCGAUUCGGUCACCGUGCUUCUUUGCCUUCUUUUUCUCUUCUCGCUUCUCUUUUUCUCCUUUUCUUUUCUUUUUAUUUUAUUUAUUUAAGGUCGCACCUACCUCUGAGCGUUAU